GUGAAGACAUCCUGUUAAGUCAGGCAACGAGCGAGACCCACGUCCACAGUUGCCAGCAUACCCUCCGGGGUGAUGGGUACACUGUGGAGACCGCCGCUGCUAAAGCGGAGGAAGGAGUGGGCAACGGUAGGUCAGUAUGCCCCGAAUCUCCCGGGCUACACGCGGGCUACAAUGGUUGGUACAAUGGGCAUCUACCCCGAAAGGGGAAGGAAAUCUCUUAAAGCCAAUCGUAGUUCGGAUUGAGGGCUGCAACUCGCCCUCAUGAAGCUGGAAUCCGUAGUAAUCGCGUUUCAACAGAACGCGGUGAAUACGUCCCUGCUCCUU
rnacentral:rRNA from 1 species